GGAAGUAGAGAGGAGACUUUGCUGGAAGUGGCAGCUGAGGAGGGAAACCCUUAUAGGUCACAAUGAGGAUGGAGGAGAACUGGAGUCAGAUGACCGAGAGGAUAUUAAACCUCACCCUGGAGAUCAUCUACCUGCUGACCGGAGAGAGAUUUCCUCUUGUGAAGUCCGGUGAUCAUAUGACCAUCA